rnacentral:rRNA from 1 species
GCUCGACCUCAAAUCAGGUAGGAAUACCCGCUGAACUU